rnacentral:rRNA from 1 species
UACGGAGGAUCCGAGCGUUAUCCGGAUUUACUGGGUUUAAAGGGUGCGUAGGCGGGCGCCUAAGUCAGCGGUGAAAUGCAGCGGCUCAACCGUUGAACUGCCGUUGAAACUGGGCGCCUUGGAUGCGGUCGAGGCCGGCGGAAUGCGUGGUGUAGCGGUGAAAUGCUUAGAUAUCACGCAGAACGCCAAUUGCGAAGGCAGCUGGCCGGGCCGCAAUCGACGCUGAGGCACGAAAGCGUGGGGAUCAAACAGG